rnacentral:sRNA from 1 species
AUGAAUUGCUGCCAAGUGUUUUAAUUUUCCUCAGAAUUUCUUUGUAAUGUUAUUGAGGGUUGGAGGUCCUUUUACAAAUUUUGGAAAUAAGUAAAUCAAAUGAGAAGACCAUGCUUCCAAACAAUCAUCCUGUUUAACAGAUCCCCUUGAUUUAAUGCAAUUAUGAAUGUGUUAGUGGUAGUGUAGUUUAAGAUCUUCCCCUUGAAUCUACAGGCUUUAAAGAAACGAACCUAGGAGUGUAUUUCCUAUCAAGCAAAUGGGUUCUGAGACUUUACGCUUUACACGUCAUUGGUUAUAGCGCUCUGCUUUUCCCGUGCUAGGCAAUGGAUCACUUGGAGUCCUUUAUUGCGGAAUGUGAUCGGAGAACUGAGCUCGCCAAGAAGCGGCUGGCAGAAACACAGGAGGAAAUCAGUGCGGAAGUUUCUGCAAAGGCAGAAAAAGUACAUGAGUUAAAUGAAGAAAUAGGAAAACUCCUUGCUAAAGCCGAACAGCUAGGGGCUGAAGGUAAUGUGGAUGAAUCCCAGAAGAUUCUUAUGGAAGUGGAAAAAGUUCGUGCAAAGAAAAAAGAAGCCGAGGAAGAAUACAGAAAUUCCAUGCCUGCAUCCAGUUUUCAGCAGCAAAAGCUGCGUGUCUGCGAGGUCUGUUCAGCCUACCUUGGUCUCCAUGACAAUGACCGUCGCUUGGCAGACCACUUCGGUGGCAAGUUACACUUGGGGUUCAUUCAGAUACGAGAGAAGCUUGAUCAGUUGAGGAAAACUGUUGCUGAAAAGCAGGAGAAGAGAAAUCAGGAUCGCUUGAGGAGGAGAGAGGAGAGGGAACGGGAGGAGCGUCUGAGCAGGAGGUCGGGAUCAAGAACCAGAGAUCGCAGGAGGUCACGCUCCCGGGAUCGGCGUCGGAGGCGGUCAAGAUCUACCUCCCGAGAGCGACGGAAGUUGUCCCGGUCCCGGUCCCGAGAUAGACAUCGGCGCCACCGCAGCCGUUCCCGGAGCCACAGCCGGGGACAUCG